rnacentral:rRNA from 1 species
UGGGGAAUAUUGGACAAUGGGCGAAAGCCUGAUCCAGCAAUGCCGCGUGUGUGAAGAAGGCCUGCGGGUUGUAAAGCACUUUCAGGGGGGAAAAAGGAGACAGUGUGAAUAGCACUGCGCUUUUGAUGUUACCCCCAGAAGAAGCACCGGCUAACUCUGUGCCAGCAGCCGCGGUAAUACAGAGGGUGCGAGCGUUAAUCGGAAUAACUGGGCGUAAAGGGUGCGUAGGCGGAACGCUAAGUCAGAUGUGAAAGCCCCGGGCUCAACCUGGGAAUGGCAUUUGAAACUGGCGAUCUAGAGUAGAGAAGAGGAGAGUGGAAUUUCAGGUGUAGCGGUGAAAUGCGUAGAUAUCUGAAGGAACACCAGUGGCGAAGGCGGCUCUCUGGUCUCAUACUGACGC